ensembl:snoRNA
AGCCUCAGUCUGUGUGCAAAUGGGCAGAGCCGAUCAUGGUGUCCAGAAUGGCAAUUUUGACUUAAAAAAAGACAAGUUUGGCUUCCAUCACUGUAGAUUAAUUUCAGUGGUGACAAUGAGACCUGUAAUACUC